GACGGGGCCCGCACAAGCGGUGGAGUAUGUGGUUUAAUUCGAUGCAACGCGAAGAACCUUACCUGGUCUUGACAUCCCGGAGACCCUUAGGAAACUAGGGGGUGCUUCCAUCUGGAAGAAUCUGGAGACAGGUGCUGCAUGGCUGUCGUCAGCUCGUGUCGUGAGAUGUUGGGUUAAGUCCCGCAACGAGCGCAACCCUUGCCUUUAGUUGCCAGCAGUUCGGCUGGGCACUCUAAAGGGACUGCCGGUGUUAAACCGGAGGAAGGUGGGGAUGACGUCAAGUCCUCAUGGCCUUUAUGACCAGGGCUACACACGUACUACAAUGGCCGAUACAAAGGGCAGCGACACUGCGAGGUGAAGCCAAUCCCGUAAAAUCGGUCUCAGUCCGGAUUGGAGUCUGCAACUCGACUCCAUGAAGUUGGAAUCGCUAGUAAUCGUGGAUCAGCAUGCCACGGUGAAUACGUUCUCGGGCCUU
rnacentral:rRNA from 1 species